rnacentral:rRNA from 1 species
AUUGAACGCUGGCGGCAGGCUUAACACAUGCAAGUCGAACGAGUGGCGGACGGGUGUGUAAUGUAUGGGAAUCUCCCUGAUGGAGGGGGAUAACUACUGGAAACUGUAGCUAAUACCGCGUACCAUAGGAUGAACCCAGUUGGGAUUAGGUUGUGGGUGGGGUAAAGGCUCACCAAGGCGACGAUCUCUAGCUGGUCUGAGAGGAUGAUCAGCCACACGGGGACUGAGACACGGCCCAGACUCCUACGGGAGGCAGCAGUGGGGAAUAGGGCGCAAUGGGGGCAAACCUGACGCAGCCAUGCCGCGUGUAUGAAGAAGGCCUUCGGGUUGUAAAGUACUUUCGGUAGCGAGGCGUUACCUACAGAAGAAGCACCGGCUAACUCCGUGCCAGCAGCCGCGGUAAUAC